GAUGAACGCUGGCGGCGUGCCUAAUACAUGCAAGUCGAGCGAACGGACGAGAAGCUUGCUUCUCUGAUGUUAGCGGCGGACGGGUGAGUAACACGUGGAUAACCUACCUAUAAGACUGGGAUAACUUCGGGAAACCGGAGCUAAUACCGGAUAAUAUUUUGAACCUCAUGGUUCAAAAGUAAAAGACGGUCUUGCUGUCACUUAUAGAUGGAUCCGCGCUGCAUUAGCUAGUUGGUAAGGUAACGGCUUACCAAGGCAACGAUGCAUAGCCGACCUGAGAGGGUGAUCGGCCACACUGGAACUGAGACACGGUCCAGACUCCUACGGGAGGCAGCAGUAGGGAAUCUUCCGCAAUGGGCGAAAGCCUGACGGAGCAACGCCGCGUGAGUGAUGAAGGUCUUCGGAUCGUAAAACUCUGUUAUUAGGGAAGAACAUAUGUGUAAGUAACUGUGCACAUCUUGACGGUACCUAAUCAGAAAGCCACGGCUAACUACGUG
rnacentral:rRNA from 1 species